UCGUCUCGUUCCCAGAGUCCUCUGCUGCUGAGCCCAGCAAAUUCCCACGGCCCCCUGAUCGGAAACCCAGGACACUCGCUGCACCCAGGCUCACACUGUUCCAUCGAAUCUGGGAUCCAGAGCAUCUCUAUAGCAAAAUCCUCCGGGUUGGGGCUGAUUGUCGGUGGAGGAGCCAACAGGCCGGACGGGCCCAUGGUUUACAUUCAAGAAGUGCAGCCAGAAGGCGACUGCUGUCGGGACGGGCGCCUCCGACCUGGCGACCAGUUGAUCGCCAUCAAUAAGGACUCGCUGGUGGGCGCCACUCACGAAGAGGCCAAAAGGAUCCUUGCGAAAACAAAAUUCAG